rnacentral:rRNA from 1 species
AUUGAACGCUGGCGGCAGGCCUAACACAUGCAAGUCGAGCGGUUGAGGGGAGCUUGCUCCCUGAUUCAGCGGCGGACGGGUGAGUAAUGCCUAGGAAUCUGCCUAUUAGUGGGGGACAACGUUUCGAAAGGAACGCUAAUACCGCAUACGUCCUACGGGAGAAAGCAGGGGACCUUCGGGCCUUGCGCUAAUAGAUGAGCCUAGGUCGGAUUGGCUUGUUGGUGAGGUAAUGGCUCACCAAGGCGACGAUCCGUAACUGGUCUGAGAGGAUGACCAGUCACACUGGGACUGAGACACGGUCCAGACUCCUACGGGAGGCAGCAGUGGGGAAUAUUGGACAAUGGGCGAAAGCCUGAUCCAGCCAUGCCGCGUGUGUGAAGAAGGUCUUCGGAUUGUAAAGCACUUUAAGUUGGGAGGAAGGGUUGUAGAUUAAUACUCUGCAAUAUUGACGUUACCGACAGAAUAAGCACCGGCUAACUCUGUGCCAGCCGCCGCAGUAA